rnacentral:rRNA from 1 species
GAUUAACGCUGGCGGCGUGCAUAACACAUGCAAGUCGAACGAUGAAACUUAGUCUACUUCUUCGGAAAGACACUAAGCGGGUUAGUGGCGAACGGGUGAGUAACGCGUGAGUAAGCUGCCUUACACAAGGAGAUAGCCUUUGGACACGAAGAAUAAUACCCUAUAAAACUAUAAAAGCACAUGCUAGAAUGGUAAAAGUGAUAGCGGUGGAAGAUGGACUUGCGUCUGAUUAGCUAGUUGGUGAGAUAAAAGCCCACCAAGGCGACGAUCAGUAGCCGGCUUGAGAGAGGGCCCAGACACAUUGGGACUGCGGCAGGACCCAGACUCCGGCGAGAGGCAGCAGUGGGGAAUUGUACAGAAGGGGGGGUGACCAGGUGCAGCGACGCGGAGUGAUUUGGAAGGCGUUCAGGUUGUAUAAGUCUUUUGUAUAGGAAGAAAAUGACAGUACUAUACGAAUAAGGUCCGGCUAAUUACGUG